UCUUGAACCGGCGAGGCGGAGGUUGCAGGGAGCUGAGAUCACACCACUGCACUCCAGCCCGGAGCGAGACUCUGUCUGAACAGAGCGAGAUUCCGUCUCAAAAAAAAAAAAGAAAAGAAAAAAAGAAAUACCGGAGGUGAACCACAUCACCUGGAAAACUUCUCCACGCAUCACAAUGUCCUUUGUAGGAGUAGAUUAAAAUUAAGCAAACCCUUCAUACUCGAGCCUAGUGUAUGUCCCCAUCCGGAGAGGAUCUGCAAGAAGACAACAGAGAUCCCCAGAGGGUGAGCCCCAUCUGUGUUCUGCACUGUGAUCCCAAGGCGCACUGGCCCAAGCCGAAGGAGUUCUGUCCUGCACCAGGAGAGCCCUGGAGGCUCUAAGCUCUGGUCCCUUUCAGGGCUGUGUCAUCGUGGAAGUUUUUCAUUGCAAGGUAACAUUUGCAGAGUGAAAUGCUCAGGUUGUCAGCGCACAGUUGCGUGAGCUUUAAUAAACAAAUCUACCAGCGCAAACCCUGCAUCUGUCAAGAUAAGGAAUUUUCACCACCCCAGGAAGUUCCUUACACUCCUGCCCAGCCAGAUUCCACCGCACCAUAGGGAACCACUGUUCUGAUUUCUGCCGCUAGAGAUUAGUCGUGCUGGUGGUUGAACUUCAUAAAAUGGAAUCAUCCAGUAUGUGAUUUUUGUGCUGUUUUUUCCCUUUUGAUUGCUGAGCGGUGGUCCGUUGCAGAGAUGUAUUGCUUCUCCGUGCUCCGGUGACAGACACCUGCGUGGUCUCCCUUUGCAGCUAAAACCAAUAAUGCCACUACGAUCAUUCUUGUGUAAGCCUUUUAUGAGCAUAUGUCUUCAUUUCUCUAGGGUAGACAUUUACAGGUGGAAGCAUUAUAGGAUUUUUUUUAUUUAUUCCUUUUACAGAUGAGGUCUCACUCUGUUGCCCAGGCUAGAGUGCAGUGGCGUGAUCACCGCUUACUGCAGGCUCAACCUCCUGGGCUCAAGUGAUCCUCCCAAAUAGCUGAGACUACAGGCAUGUACUACCACACCUAGCUAAUUUUUUAUUUUUUAUUUUUGUAGAGAUGAGGUCUCACUAUGUUGCCCAGGCUGGUCUGGAACUCCUCGGCUCAAGGGAUCCUCCCUCCUCAGCCUCCCAAAGUUCUGGGAUUGCAGGCAUGAGCUACUGCACCCUGCCUAUAGUAGGAUUUUCAAAAGGACCUUGGAAGCACCACCUGCCACUCAAUCCCAGAUGGCCUUCUCCCAUUCUGUGUCAAUGCCGUCGUAAAAAGAAAUACAAAUGUUCGCCCAGAUGCCUGUCAAGAGCGUCCAACCCCCUCUCUCCGGCCAAGGAGUUUUAUAAUCUCCAUUCAUACACUGUGCUCGGAAUUUAAUUAACUCUAUGGAGGAACGUGCCAUCAGGACCAGCUUAUAGCGGCUGUAACAUUGAGGGGUUUAUGGCCAGAUAUUACAAGCAAAGCCAUAGGGAGAUGGGCUCAGAGCCAGGCAAAUCAGUGGCAAGAAGGAUAAAGAUGUGUUGAAAAUAAAAUUUAAUUUUCCAGCUGCGGUUAUGAACAAGUCAUAUUCCAGCUUCACUGCGGGGUCACAGCCUAACAAAUGAGGCAGGCCUGGAGGAUGGCGUCGGAAACCCAGGCAAGCAACGGACCGAGGACGGCUGGCCGCCCCACCUGUGGGCUGGAGCCCUCACAAGAGCACCCUCAAUGAAGGGUUUUAAGUUCGUGUCCUUUUCUGCAUAAAUCCUCAUGGCCGCAAUCAAAGGAAUCACCUGGAACCUAUUUAACUAAAUCGCUUUUUCACAACAGGUCAAGCACAGCAGGGUCCCUCCUGCAUUUGCCUGGAGUGAGAUAGUCGCAGCCGGUCAGGCCCCGCCUCUGGGCACAGCCUGUUCCCGUCGGAACCGCCCGCAGUUGGAUACGUGGCCCCCACCAGCCCCAAGUUGACCAACUCCAUCUAGGUUCCUGGACUUGUCCUUCCUCCCGUUGGCUCUGCGGCCUGGACGACGUUUUGUUAUUAUUAUUUGUGCGUCUUCUCCAGCCCUGCCCUCGCCCCACGCCUUUCCCUCUCUCCACCUGCGGAAACGCCUCCAUCCUGGAGGGCACCUCGGACACCGGCUCUUGCAUGCACGCUUGCUGACGUGCCCGGCGUGCCGCUGCUCCUCGUGCCUGCACCAGCACCCACAGAUCCAGCCCUCCAUGCUCCUCGCCAUGUUACUGUGCCAGGCCUCACACAGGAGAGCGGAUCCCCUCUCCGUUCUGGAGAUCCAGGCCUCUGCUCCGUGUUGCAGUGAGGUUUGCUCUCUUCUCUCUGAAGUCGCCUCUGCCAGGCUCCAGCAGAAUUUCCCCACAGAGACUUGCAAAGAGACCCCGAUCCCCUUAGAAUUGGGAAACGGGAGCUUCAUACUGCUCAGGAAAUCACACUGAAACCGAGGCCCAGGGCAACAGUGGAAACUCAGGAGUGAAAAGCAAGAAUCUAAGUCACGGGACGUUCCAUUGCCCUCAUGCUGUACCCUGGGAACUCACUUUGGCUGCAUAAAAACUCCUGGGCGCAGUGGCUCAUGCCUGUAAUCCCAGUGUGUCCGGAAUUGGUGGGUUCUUGGUCUCACUGACUUCAAGAAUGAAGCCACGGACCCUUGCGGUGAGUGUUACAGCUCUUAAGUUGGCGCGUCUGCGGUUUGCUCCUUCUGAUGUUCGGUUGUGUUCAGAGUUUCUUCCUUCUGGUGGGUUCGUGGUCUCGCUGGUUCAGGAGUGAAGCUGCAGACUUUUGCGGUGAGUGUUACCGCUCUUAAGGCAGCGCGUUUGGAGUUGUUCGUUUUUCCCGGUGGGCUCGUGGUCUCGCUGGCUUCAGGAAUGAAGCUGCAGACCUUCGUGGUGAGUGUUACAGCUCAUAAAAGCAGUGUGGACCCAAAGAGUGAGCAAUAGCAAGAUUUAUUGCAAAGAGAGAAAGAACAAAGCUUCCACAGCGUGGAAGGGGACCCGAUUGGGUUGCCACUGCUGGCUCGGGCAGCCUGCUAUUAUUCUCUUAUCUGGCCCCACCCACAUCCUGCUGAUUGGUAGAGUCCAGUGGUCUGUUUUGACAGGGCACUGAUUGGUGUGUUUACAAUCCUUGAGCUGGACACAAAGUUUCUCCAGGUCCCCACCAGAUUAGCUAGAUACAGAGUGUGGACAGAAAGGUU
rnacentral:lncRNA from 10 species